UAGGGAAUCUUCCACAAUGGGCGCAAGCCUGAUGGAGCAACACCGCGUGAGUGAAGAAGGGUUUCGGCUCGUAAAGCUCUGUUGUUAAAGAAGAACACGUAUGAGAGUAACUGUUCAUACGUUGACGGUAUUUAACCAGAAAGUCACGGCUAACUACGUGCCAA
rnacentral:rRNA from 1 species